GUAGGCGUGCCCCUUAGGCAAAUCCGGGGGGCUGAGCUGAGGCGUGAUGACGAGGUCUCUUUGAGACCGAAGUGAUUGAGACCCUGCUUCCAGGAAAAGCCACUAAGCUUCAGUCUAGAAUUGACCGUACCGCAAACCGACACAGGUGGGCAGGUAGAAGAUACUAAGGCGCUUGAGAGAACUCAGGAGAAGGAACUCGGCAAAUUGAUACCGUAACUUCGGGAGAAGGUAUGCCCCUGGUACGUGAAGGCCCUCGCGGCCGGAGCGGAACGGGGUCGCAGAGAAUCGGUGGCUGCGACUGUUUAUUAAAAACACAGCACUCUGCAAACACGAAAGUGGACGUAUAGGGUGUGACGCCUGCCCGGUGCCGGAAGGUUAAGUGAUGGGGUGCAAGCUCUUGAUCGAAGCCCCGGUAAACGGCGGCCGUAACUAUAACGGUCCUAAGGUAGCGAAAUUCCUUGUCGGGUAAGUUCCGACCUGCACGAAUGGCGUAACGAUGGCCACACUGUCUCCUCCUGAGACUCAGCGAAGUUGAAAUGUUUGUGAAGAUGCAAUCUCCCCGCGGCUAGACGGAAAGACCCCAUGAACCUUUACUGUAGCUUUGCAUUGGACUUUGACGGGACUUGUGUAGGAUAGGUGGGAGGCUUUGAAACCGGGACGCCAGUUCCGGUGGAGCCAACCUUGAAAUACCACCCUGGUGUCGUCGAGGUUCUAACCCAGGCCUGUGAAUCCAGGUCGGGGACCGUGCAUGGUGGGCAGUUUGACUGGGGCGGUCUCCUCCCAAAAGGUAACGGAGGAGUACGAAGGUCUUCUAGGUACGGUCGGACAUCGUACUGAUAGUGCAAUGGCAAAAGAAGGCUUGACUGCGAGACCCACAAGUCGAGCAGGUGCGAAAGCAGGUCAUAGUGAUCCGGUGGUUCUGUAUGGAAGGGCCAUCGCUCAACGGAUAAAAGGUACUCUGGGGAUAACAGGCUGAUUCCGCCCAAGAGUUCACAUCGACGGCGGAGUUUGGCACCUCGAUGUCGGCUCAUCACAUCCUGGGGCUGUAGCCGGUCCCAAGGGUAUGGCUGUUCGCCAUUUAAAGUGGUACGUGAGCUGGGUUUAAAACGUCGUGAGACAGUUUGGUCCCUAUCUGCCGUGGGCGCUG
rnacentral:rRNA from 1 species